rnacentral:rRNA from 1 species
GACAUAGGUGGCGAACGUUAUCCGGAUUUAUUGGGCGUAAAGGGUGUGUAGGUGGCGCCGUAAGUCGGGUGUGAAAUUUCGGAGCUUAACUCCGAAACUGCAUUCGAUACUGCGGUGCUUGAGGACUGGAGAGGAGACUGGAAUUCAUGGUGUAGCAGUGAAAUGCGUAGAUAUCUGGAGGAACACCGGUGGCGAAGGCGGCAUCCUGGACCGAGAUUGACGCUGAUGCGCGAAAGCCAGGGGAGCAAACGGG